AGCACUCGUACACUCCGGUUCCUCCGCGCCGUCCAUAUAUACCUGACGACUGCUCGCUACGUUUUGUUAGCC
rnacentral:sRNA from 1 species